rnacentral:rRNA from 1 species
AUCUGGGUGGCGGAAUUCAGGAUGGCUGGCGUACUCUCGCGGUGCGUCAGUCGUUUGCAAUUUCCGUCGCCAAUUACCGCAGACGUCGCGACCUGUUCGCGGUCGGUCCCUGCUCGGAGGAGCCGCGUUCGAGCUCGUUGUGUGCGCGUUUCGGCGUGUCACACGGCGAAGGCGCGGGUCUCUGGCUGGCCGUCGGACAGUAUGCUUAACGGUGUCCGGUGUCGUCGUCUCGUACGCGCGGCAUCGGUACCGGUCAGCGACGAAUUCUUCGGGCCUCUUUCCGACCCGUCUUGAAACACGGACCAAGGAGUCUAACAUGCGCGCGAGUCGCGGGGUAUCGAGCGUACUUCGGUGCGUUCGUUAUGUUGCGAAACCCGUACAUGUUGAAGGCGUAAUGAAAGUYAAUGGGGAAGAUGGCGCUCCGAGUUCACGUUCCGCGAUCAUUGGUAUCGCGGCCGGACGCCCGCAUUCCCGGGGCGUCUCAACGGCCCGUCGCUGAUGCGGACCGUCGUCYUUCGGGGCGGCUGUCGGUCGGCGACGAACCGA